rnacentral:rRNA from 1 species
GGCAGUGGCGCGUGCUAUACAUGCAGUCGAGCGGACAGAUGGGAGCUUGCUCCCUGAUGUUAGCGGCGGACGGGUGAGUAACACGUGGGUAACCUGCCUGUAAGACUGGGAUAACUCCGGGAAACCGGGGCUAAUACCGGAUGGUUGUUUGAACCGCAUGGUUCAAACAUAAAAGGUGGCUUCGGCUACCACUUACAGAUGGACCCGCGGCGCAUUAGCUAGUUGGUGAGGUAACGGCUCACCAAGGCAACGAUGCGUAGCCGACCUGAGAGGGUGAUCGGCCACACUGGGACUGAGACACGGCCCAGACUCCUACGGGAGGCAGCAGUAGGGAAUCUUCCGCAAUGGACGAAAGUCUGACGGAGCAACGCCGCGUGAGUGAUGAAGGUUUUCGGAUCGUAAAGCUCUGUUGUUAGGGAAGAACAAGUACCGUUCGAAUAGGGCGGUACCUUGACGGUACCUAACCAGAAAGCCACGGCUAACUACGUGCCAGCAGCCGCGGUAAUACGUAGGUGGCAAGCGUUGUCCGGAAUUAUUGGGCGUAAAGGGCUCGCAGGCGGUUUCUUAAGUCUGAUGUGAAAGCCCCCGGCUCAACCGGGGAGGGUCAUUGGAAACUGGGGAACUUGAGUGCAGAAGAGGAGAGUGGAAUUCCACGUGUAGCGGUGAAAUGCGUAGAGAUGUGGAGGAACACCAGUGGCGAAGGCGACUCUCUGGUCUGUAACUGACGCUGAGGAGCGAAAGCGUGGGGAGCGAACAGGAUUAGAUACCCUGGUAGUCCACGCCGUAAACGAUGAG